rnacentral:rRNA from 1 species
GACAGAGGGGGCAAGCGUUGCUCGGAAUUACUGGGCGUAAAGGGCGCGUAGGCGGGAUGGCAAGUCGGUCGUGAAAUCCCUCGGCUCAACUGAGGAUCGUCGAUCGAUACUGCCGUUCUUGAGGAUUGCAGAGGAGACUGGAAUUCCCGGUGUAGCGGUGAAAUGUGUAGAGAUCGGGAGGAACACCGGUGGCGAAGGCGGCAUCCUGGACCGGCAUUGACGCUGAACAGCGAAAGCUAGGGGAGCAAACGGG